rnacentral:ncRNA from 1 species
AUGGCUUAUAACGGUGGAGUUUUUUACGAACUUCCUAUUCAGUUAGGUUACGUAAAUUAUAAUACCGUGGGAAGUCGUCUCGAAAGAGAUUGACCCCGUAACGACUGGAUUCAAUUCGCACGGCAAUAAAUUUGCUUGGCGACGAGAUGAAGAUAGCGGAAGCGCCGACAGAAGUCGGAGAAACAUCGCUAUAACACGCCAUCUCCUAAUCCGUCAGUGACGGAAAGGAAGAAGAUAUAGUCUAAUCCCAAUUAAGUUAAAUUGAAGAUUGAACAGGCUGGUUUCGCCUAAGAGUCCAAAUCGACGGCGAAGUUCGGCACCUCGAUGUCGGCUCAUCUUAUCCCGGGGCUGGAGAAAACAUACCUUCUCUCCCUACUGGAAACGGUAGGGUAAUUAAACAAGCUCAAAACGGUGGAGGCUUACUCAUGUCCUUAGAUCUCCUGUUUCGGAGGUCCCAGGUGGUAUACUUCGUAUAUCAAACUGCAUGAAAGCUAGCGCCGUGGGAAAGAGAUGUUCUGUAGCUGAAAGAGCAUAUUUGGCCGGUCUCAUCGACGGCGAUGGCGCCAUCAUGGCGCUCAUCGAACCGAUGCAUGAGAAACGGUUUCGUUUUCGAGUGCGUAUUGAACUGAAAAUCACGCAGAAGAAUGAGAGAGACCUUGUGUUUCUCAAUAAACUUCUCGGGUGUGGUUCAGUACGAAGAAAUCGGACGACGUGUGAUUGGAUUACGAGGGAUCAAAAACAAAUCCUUCGCAUUCUGGCACUCAUUCGGCCGUAUUCAAGAAUGAAACAGCGGCAGAUAGAAUUUGCGAGUGAGAUUAUUCAAACUCAAAUUGUUGAGCGUGGAGAUCUUAUUCGUAUAGCUCGAUUAGCGGAUGCAUUGUCGAAGUUCAACGUUCGUUCCAAAUUACGACGGAAGAAUUAUGCGACAAUGAUCCAAGAACAUUUCUCCCCUAACGACUGAUUUCAGCGAUUUUGGUUGCUGAAUGAGAUAUGUCCUGAACGACUUUACGGAGUUGAAGGAGUAUCACACGGCUUGUACCUGACGGUCUUGUGGCGACACAAGAUACAAGGUAAUGGAAUAGUCUGAUACUGGCGGGAACGUCAGAUAACAAAGAAAUGAGGUCCCAAGGGUUUGGCUGUUCGCCAAUUAAAAAGGUACGUGAGCUGGGUUCAAACCGUCGUGAGACAGGUUGGUCUUAAUCUGCUGCAGGCGUUGAUUCUUGAGGAGAGUCUUCAUUAGUACGAGAGGACCGUGAAGAACUGACCGCUGGUCUGGGGGCUGUACCGCCAGGUGCAUCGCCCCGUAGCUAUGUCGGGAACGGAUAACCGCUGAAAGCAUCUAAGCGGGAAGCCAACUCCAAGAUUAUUCUUUGUUGAUUCUUUUUGCCCGACACACGCCUUGCGUGU